rnacentral:rRNA from 1 species
CCUACGGGAGGCUGCAGUGGGGAAUAUUGCACAAUGGGCGAAAGCCUGAUGCAGCAACGCCGCGUGAAGGAAGACGGUUUUCGGAUUGUAAACUUCUGUUCUUAGUGAAGAAUAAUGACGGUAACUAAGGAGUAAGCCACGGCUAACUACGUGCCAGCAGCCGCGGUAAUACGUAGGUGGCAAGCGUUGUCCGGAAUUACUGGGUGUAAAGGGAGCGUAGGCGGGAAGCCAAGUCAGCUGUGAAAAUUACGGGCUUAACCUUGAGACUGCAGGUGAAACUGGCUUUCUUGAGUGAAGUAGAGGUUGGCGGAAUUCCGGGUGUAGCGGUGAAAUGCGUAGAUAUUAGGAGGAAAACCGGUGGCGAAGGCAGCCUACUGGGCUUUAACUGACGCUGAGGCUCGAAAGUGUGGGGAGCAAACAGGAUUAGAUACCCCUGUAGUC